rnacentral:rRNA from 1 species
UAGCGGAGGGAGCUAGUCGUUGUUCGGAAUUAGCUGGGCGUAAAGCGCACGUAGGCGGCUUUGUAAAGUUAGGAGGUGAAAGCCCGGGGCUCAACCCCGGAAUUGCCUUUAAGACUGCAUCGCGUUGAAUCCGGGGAAGAGGUGAGUGGAAUUCCGGAGUGAUAGAUGGUGAAAUUCGUAGAUAAUUCGGAAGAACACCAGGAGGCG